rnacentral:lncRNA from 1 species
CAUCAACAAAAGAAAAUCACUGAAUUACGGGCUCCUGACUUGGAACAGGCACUGACAUACAUGCAGAAUAUGGCGGGGUUAAACAUGUUCUCUUGCCGAUUAUAAAUCUGAAAUAAAACCGGCAAAAUAGCAAAACUCUAUAUAAUAUUAAUCGCUAUUUUGCCGAAGCCUUUAUAUUAAGACAAAUAUUUCUUAAAACUUAUAAAUCA